AAACUAACAAGGAUUCCCCUAGUAGCGGCGAGCGAAGCGGGAAGAGCUCAAAUUUAUAAUCUGGCGCUUUCAGCGUCCGAGUUGUAAUCUCUAGAAGUGUUUUCCGCGUUGGACCGCACAUAAGUCUGUUGGAAUACAGCGGCACAGUGGUGAGACCCCCGUUCACGGUGCGGAUGCCCAAUGCUUUGUGAUACACUUUCGAAGAGUCGAGUUGUUUGGGAAUGCAGCUCAAAUUGGGUGGUAAAUUCCAUCUAAAGCUAAAUAUUGGCGAGAGACCGAUAGCGAACAAGUACCGUGAGGGAAAGAUGAAAAGCACUUUGGAAAGAGAGUUAACAGUACGUGAAAUUGUUGGAAGGGAAACGCUUGAAGUCAGACUUGCUAUUCGGGGCUUGCUCCGAGUUGCAGGCCAGCAUCAGUUUUUCGGGGCGGAAAAUCACGGAUUGAAGGUAGCAGUUUCGGCUGUGUUAUAGCUUUCCGUUGGAUACGUCCUGGGGGACUGAGGAACGCAGUGUGCUUUUAGCGAGGGCUUCGGCUCUUUCACACUUAGGAUGCUGGUGGAAUGGCUUUAAACGAC
rnacentral:rRNA from 1 species